rnacentral:rRNA from 1 species
GACGAACGCUGGCGGCGUGCUUAACACAUGCAAGUCGAACGGAAAGGCCCUGCUUUUGUGGGGUGCUCGAGUGGCGAACGGGUGAGUAACACGUGAGUAACCUGCCCUUGACUUUGGGAUAACUUCAGGAAACUGGGGCUAAUACCGGAUAGGAGCUCCUGCUGCAUGGUGGGGGUUGGAAAGUUUCGGCGGUUGGGGAUGGACUCGCGGCUUAUCAGCUUGUUGGUGGGGUAGUGGCUUACCAAGGCUUUGACGGGUAGCCGGCCUGAGAGGGUGACCGGCAACAUUGGGACUGAGAUACGGCCCAGACUCCUACGGGAGGAAGCAGUGGGGAAUAUUGCACAAUGGGCGGAAGCCUGAUGCAGCAACGCCGCGUGCGGGAUGACGGCCUUCGGGUUGUAAACCGCUUUCGCCUGUGACGAAGCGUGAGUGACGGUAAUGGGUAAAGAAGCACCGGCUAACUACGUG